GGAUUAGAUACCCUGGUAGUCCUAGCUGUAAACGAUGGAUACUAGGUGUUGCCUGUAUCGACCCGGGCAGUGCCGUAGCUAACGCGUUAAGUAUCCCGCCUGGGGAGUACGCACGCAAGUGUGAAACUCAAAGGAAUUGACGGGGGCCCGCACAAGCGGUGGAGUAUGUGGUUUAAUUCGAUGCAACGCGAAGAACCUUACCUGGACUUGACAUGUCGCGAACUAAAGUGAAAGCUUUGGGUGCCUUCGGGAGCGCGAACACAGGUGGUGCAUGGCUGUCGUCAGCUCGUGCCG
rnacentral:rRNA from 1 species